rnacentral:rRNA from 1 species
UACGUAGGGUGCGAGCGUUAAUCGGAAUUACUGGGCGUAAAGCGUGCGCAGGCGGUUGUGCAAGACAGAUGUGAAAUCCCCGGGCUUAACCUGGGAAUGGCAUUUGUGACUGCACGGCUAGAGUGUGUCAGAGGGGGGUGGAAUUCCACGUGUAGCAGUGAAAUGCGUAGAUAUGUGGAGGAAUACCGAUGGCGAAGGCAGCCCCCUGGGAUAACACUGACGCUCAUGCACGAAAGCGUGGGGAGCAAACAGG